CACAUGCAAGUCGAACGGUAACAGGCCUUCGGGUGCUGACGAGUGGCGGACGGGUGAGUAACGCGUAGGAAUCUGCCCUGUAGUGGGGACAACGUGGGGAAACUCACGCUAAUACCGCAUACGCCCUGAGGGGGAAAGCGGGGGACCUUCGGGCCUCGCGCUAUGGGAUGAGCCUGCGUGGGAUUAGCUAGUUGGUAGGGUAAAGGCCUACCAAGGCGACGAUCCCUAGCCGGCCUGAGAGGGUGGCCGGCCACACUGGGACUGAGACACGGCCCAGACUCCUACGGGAGGCAGCAGUGGGGAAUAUUGGACAAUGGGCGCAAGCCUGAUCCAGCAAUGCCGCGUGUGUGAAGAAGGCCUGAGGGUUGUAAAGCACUUUCAGUGGGGAGGAAAAAGCGAAGGUUAAUACCCUUGGUCUUGACAUUACCCAGAGAAGAAGCACCGGCUAACUCCGUGCCAGCAGCCGCGGUAAUACGGAGGGUGCGAGCGUUAAUCGGAAUUACUGGGCGUAAAGCGUGCGUAGGCGGCUAUUUAAGUCAGAUGUGAAAGCCCCGGGCUUAACCUGGGAACGGCAUUUGAUACUGGGUAGCUAGAGUUUGGUAGAGGGGAGUGGAAUUUCAGGUGUAGCGGUGAAAUGCGUAGAGAUCUGAAGGAACACCAGUGGCGAAGGCGGCUCCCUGGACCAGAGCUGACGCUGAGGCACGAAAGCGUGGGUAGCAAACAGGAUUAGAUACCCUGGUAGUCCACGCCGUAAACGAUGCCGACUAGCCGUUGGGUCUUUAAGGAGGCUUGGUGGCGCAGCUAACGCAAUAAGUCGGCCGCCUGGGGAGUACGGC
rnacentral:rRNA from 1 species